UCUCCGCUCCCAGAAUCGAACUCUGAAGGGUAUUAGAAUGAUGAAAUCAUUGGAAGAGUGUGUUCAUUAACGUACAGGGACCUUCUGAUUAAGCAGUAGAAUCCACUCUUCAGUGAGCUGAAGAGUAACUGAUCAAUUACAGUCAGACGUGAUGAACCAACUACACCAAGCGGAG
rnacentral:tRNA from 1 species